AUGCCGCGUGCAUGAUGAAGGCCUUCGGGUUGUAAACUGCUUUUGUACGGAACGAAAAAGCUCCUUCUAAUACAGGGGGCCCAUGACGGUACCGUAAGAAUAAGCACCGGCUAACUACGUGCCAGCCGCCGCGGUAA
rnacentral:rRNA from 1 species